rnacentral:rRNA from 1 species
AUUGAACGCUGGCGGCAUGAUUUACACAUGCAAGUCGAACGGUAACAGGCCGCAAGGUGCUGACGAGUGGCGAACGGGUGCGUAAUGCAUCGGAACGUGCCCAGUCGUGGGGGAUAACUACUCGAAAGAGUAGCUAAUACCGCAUACGAUCUAUGGAUGAAAGCGGGGGACCGUAAGGCCUCGCGCGAUUGGAGCGGCCGAUGUCAGAUUAGGUAGUUGGUGGGGUAAAGGCUCACCAAGCCAACGAUCUGUAGCUGGCCUGAGAGGACGACCAGCCACACUGGGACUGAGACACGGCCCAGACUCCUACGGGAGGCAGCAGUGGGGAAUUUUGGACAAUGGGCGCAAGCCUGAUCCAGCAAUGCCGCGUGCAGGAAGAAGGCCUUCGGGUUGUAAACUGCUUUUGUACGGAACGAAACGGCUCUGGUUAAUACCCGGGGCUAAUGACGGUACCGUAAGAAUAAGCACCGGCUAACUACGUG